CAACUACUCCCUCUGUUCCAAAUUUCUUGUCUUAGAUUUGUCUAGAUACGGAUGUAUCUAAUAUGGAUGUAUCUAAUACUAAAAUGUGACUUGAUACAUCCGUAUCUAGACAAAUCUAAGAUAAGAAUUUUGGGACGGAGGGAGUACUUU
rfam:Triticum aestivum genome assembly, contig: Triticum_aestivum_CS42_TGACv1_scaffold_130470_2BL